ACAAAGUGCUGAGGAAAGGGUCUGAAUAGUUAUGUGAAUGUGAUAUUUCAUUUUUUUAUUUGUAAUAAAUUCACAACAGUUGUGUAGUGUGUAGUGUCGUGUAGCAUUGUGUUGUGUAGGGUUGUGUGUAGUGUUAUGUAGUGUAGUGUUGUGUAGUGUUAUGUAGUGUUGUGUAGUGUGUUGUGUAGUGUUAUGUAGUGUAGUGUUGUGUAGUGUUGUGUAGUGUGUAGUGUUAUGUAGUGUUGUGUGCAGUGUGUAGUGUUGUGUUAUGUAGUGUUGUGUAGUGUGUAAUAGUGUUGUGUGGCGUGUAGUGUGUAGUGUUGUGUAGUGUGUAGUGUUGUGUUGUGUGUAAUAGUGUUGUGUAGUGUUGUGUAGUGUUGUGUAGUGUUGUGUAGUGUUGUGUAGUGUGUAGUGUUGUGUUGUGUGUAAUAGUGUUGUGUAGUGUUGUGUAGUGUGUAGUGUUGUGUAGUGUGUAAUAGUGUUGUGUAGUGUGUAGUGUUGUGUUGUGUGUAAUAGUGUUGUGUAGUGUUGUGUAGUGUGUAGUGUUGUGUAGUGUGUAAUAGUGUUGUGUAGUGUGUAGUGUUGUGUUGUGUGUAAUAGUGUUGUGUAGUGUUGUGUAGUGUGUAGUGUUGUGUAGUGUGUAAUAGUGUUGUGUAGUGUGUAGUGUUGUGUUGUUGUUGUGUAGUGUGUAGUGUUGUGUUGUGUGUAAUAGUGUUGUGUAGUGUUGUGUGUGUUGUUGUUGUGUAGUGUUGUGUAGUGUGUAGUGUUGUGUAGUGUGUAAUAGUGUUGUGUAGUGUUGUGUAGUGU
ensembl:lncRNA